UGUCCUUCCAGGGCAUGGGCCGGGUGCCAGGCCCCUUUCUCCUCAGCCUCACCAGCAUCUGGUCCUCGACCUCUCUGAUUUCUUGCAGCCUGAGAGGGAAAAAUGAAACAAAGCCAAAGGAGCCUGGGGAAGCCUUCCGAACCCCCGGUUGAUGUCAAGUCCCCAUGUGGCACCCUCGGAGAAACCCUGGGCCACUGUCGCGUCCGCACCACCGUCAACUGAUUCACGCGCACCCCCCACUGGACAGUAGCCUCCAGCGUCUCCCCAGAGUGCCUGCAACAUACCUGAGGGAGGAACAGAGGAAGGAAUCCGCGGAAGAAUGGCAGAGUGCUGGGGACAGCGAGAAGGGGCCAUAUAGGAGACAGGGUUUGGGAAGCAAGGGCCUGGAGCCAAGAACCUCUCUGUGGCCCCUCCCCUCCCUGGCGCCCCCUCUGCCCCGCCUGCUUUGCUUUCCUCCACAGCGUUCGCCUCCCCCUGUGCCUGGUGUUUGCUUGCUUGGGGUUUCUGCACCGGAGGGGAGCUCUGGGUGGGGCAGGCGCUGUCUGGGGUCCCCUCCGAAUCCCAACCCGAUCCUGACACAGAGCAGCCAGCGUCUGCGAACAGGAGCAAGCGGGCGCACUGAUGGGCUCGGGCUCCAGGUCUGCAUGGCAGAGGCCGAGGCAGAGGCUUGCUUCUCUCCAGGCGCCCGUGUGGGAAAGGCCGGAGGGAGGAUGUGUGGCGACAGAGCAUUGCUUCCGCAGGCAUCUCCGGUGGGCCUACCGCCCGAGAGGCGCUCCGCAGGGACGGGUCAGGAUUCCCCACAUGCGGCACAAGAUUUCCAACGGGAGAGGAGCGUGGACGGGACGAUUGAUUCUCCGAGCCCUCCUGCCCCUGACUCCUAGCCCUUCCACUCCCACCCGCAGAGCACCUGCCAGCAGGGUUUGUUGGGAGUUCGACGCGAUCUCCGUGUCAAAGUGCACACCGUAUGUCCUCAGAAACGUUAACUCCCUUGUCUUCCCACCUGAGCUGUGUCUUCUCCGUCUGUGCCCUGGCAGUCAUCCCGAUCCUGCGGUCCUGGAUCAGGCCUUCAUUGUUUUGGUUGCAAAUGACAGAAAAUUCGAUUCCAACUAGUUUAAGCAAAAAAAGAGGGGGGUGGUGUUUGUGGCUUAGAUUUUGCGGGGGCGAGCCUCAUCAGAGCUCAGACAACGUGGCCUGGCACUGACCUCUAUCUCUUGGCUCUGUGUCCUCUGGUUUAGUCCAUAUUCACAAUGGGUUUCCCUCAUGGCGGCAAGAUGGCUGCAGCAGCCCCACCCUUGCGGCUGCCUCUUUUCUACCCCUUCCAUGGAAGUCCUGGGGAGUCAUUGUGUUUGCCCUGUCUUAGGUCCUGCCCAUCCCCGGCUGUUCACCGAGGCCAGGGAGAUGCGA